rnacentral:rRNA from 1 species
CCUUCAGGAUGGGGUCACAACCGGAAAAGACGCUAAUCCCCUAAACGCUAAGAGCGAAACGGGCAAGCCCGCCUAAAGAGAAGCUCGCGGCUGAUUAGCGCGUAGGUAGGGUAAUAGCUUACCAAGGCGACGAUCAGUAACUGGUUUGAGAGGAGGAACAAACACACUGGAACUGGGACACGGUCCACACUCCUACGGGAGGCAGCAGUGGGGAAUUUUCCGCAAUGGGCGAAAGCCUGACGGAUCAAUACCGCGUGAGGGAAAUGAAGGCCUAUGGGUUGUAAACCUCUUUUUUCAUGGAGGAAGUAAAUGACGUGUACCUGAAUAAUAAACAUCGGCUAACUCCGUGCCAGCAGCCGCGGUAAGACGGACGAUGCAAGUGUUAUCCGGAAUCACUGGGCGUAAAGCGUCUGUAUGUGGUUAAAUAAGUCAACUGUUAAAUCUUGGGGCUCAACUUCAAAAUCGCAUUCAAAACUAUUUGACUUGAGUAUAGAAGGGGUAAAGGGAAUUUCCAGUGGAGUGAUGAAAUGCGUACAUAUUGGAAAGAACACCAAACGCUAACGCACUUUACUGGGCUAUUACUAUCACUCACAGACAAAAGCUAGGGUAGCAAAUGGGAUUAGAUACCCCAGUAGUCCUAGCUGUAAAC